UGGGGAAUAUUGCACAAUGGAGGGAACUCUGAUGCAGCGACGCCGCGUGAGUGAUGAAGGAAUUCGUUUCGUAAAACUCUGUUCUAUGGGAAGAAAAGGACUGUACCAUAGGAGAAAGCUCCGGCUAAAUACGUGCCAGCAGCCGCGGUAAUACGUAUGGAGCGAGCGUUGUCCGGAAUUAUUGGGCGUAAAGGGUGCGCAGGCGGCUUUACAAGUUGGAUGUGAAAUAUUGUGGCUCAACCACAAACGUGCAUCCAAAACUGCAAAGCUUGAGUUAAGGAGAGGUAAGUGGAAUUCCUGGUGUAGCGGUGGAAUGCGUAGAUAUCAGGAGGAAUACCGGUGGCGAAGGCGACUUACUGGAAUUAAACUGACGCUCAGGCACGAAAGCGUGGGGAGCAAACAGG
rnacentral:rRNA from 1 species